rnacentral:rRNA from 1 species
UACGGAGGAUCCGAGCGUUAUCCGGAUUUAUUGGGUUUAAAGGGAGCGUAGGUGGAUUGUUAAGUCAGUUGUGAAAGUUUGCGGCUCAACCGUAAAAUUGCAGUUGAAACUGGCAGUCUUGAGUACAGUAGAGGUGGGCGGAAUUCCCGGUGUAGCGGUGGAAUGCGCAGAUAUCGGGAAGAACACCGAUGGCGAAGGCAGAUCUCUGGGCCGCAACCGACGCUGAGGCGCGAAAGCUAGGGGAGCGAACAGG